rnacentral:rRNA from 1 species
UCUUUGGAGAGUUUGAUCUUGGCUCAGGACGAACGCUGGCGGCGUGCCUAAUACAUGCAAGUCGAGCGCGGGAAGCAAGCUGAUCCUCUUCGGAGGUGACGCUUGUGGAACGAGCGGCGGACGGGUGAGUA